rnacentral:rRNA from 1 species
GACGAACGCUGGCGGCGUGCUUAACACAUGCAAGUCGAGCGGUAAGGCCCUUCGGGUACGACGAGCGGCGAACGGGUGAGUAACACGUGGGUGACCUGCCCUCCACUUCGGGAUAAGCCUGGGAAACCGGGUCUAAUACCGGAUAGGACCUCUGGAUGCAUGUCUGGUGGUGGAUAGUCUGUGUCUUGACUGAUGCUGGCGGU